GGCCUUAUGGUCUAGUCGUAUGAUUCUCCCUUUGGGUUGUCUCUCAAUGAAACAAAAACUGGGAGAGGUCUCGGGUUCAAUUCCCGAUGAGGCCC
rnacentral:tRNA from 1 species